AGCAGCGUGGCCUAGUGGAAAGGCACAGGCCUGAGAGUCAGAGGAUUUGGGUUCUAAUCCUGGUUCUAAUCCUGGCUCUGCCA
rnacentral:tRNA from 1 species